rnacentral:rRNA from 1 species
AAAGUCGUAACAAGGUUUCCGUAGGUGAACCUGCGGAAGGAUCAUUAUCGAAUGAUUAAGCCCUGGCUGUAGCUGGCCUUUCGAGGCAUGUGCACGCCUGUGGUGAAUUCAUCCAUACACACCUGUGAACCUAUUGUGGGACGCCCUUCGGGGUGAAUCCCAUGUUUUACACACACUCUUGUAUGUCUAUAGAAUGUAAAGCUUGUAUUGCCGUAAAACGCAAACUUAUACAACUUUCAACAACGGAUCUCUUGGCUCUCGCAUCGAUGAAGAACGCAGCGAAAUGCGAUAAGUAAUGUGAAUUGCAGAUUUUCAGUGAAUCAUCGAAUCUUUGAACGCACCUUGCGCUCCUUGGUAUUCCGAGGAGCAUGCCUGUUUGAGUGUCAUUAAAUUCUCAACCCCUAACGGAUUUGCGUCUGGGAGGGGCUUGGACUUGGAGCGUGCUGGCCUUUGUUGGUCGGCUCCUCUUAAAUGCAUCAGCGGAAAGGUAUUUGCUUUCUGAGCAUCAGUGUGAUAAUAUGUUGCGCUGUUGUUGGAAUGGCAAUGUCCGCUUAGAAUGGUCUUCGGACAAACUUCAUUGAAACUUGACCUCAA